rnacentral:lncRNA from 1 species
GCCAUGUCACCUGUGUGCAGGUCCAAGGACAACUUGUAGGACUUCACUUUUUUUUCCUUGCAGCAGUCCUCAUUAUGGCCUUUUCAUACGCAGGGCAGGAGUCCCUGCAGGUUCUGUGGUCGGCAGGGAAAUGAUUUGGGUGAGAUGAAGGCUCAAAGCAUCAGCUAUGGACAGGUUCUCCUGAGUCAUAUAAGAUAGGAGGCUGAGCAUGCCCUAGAAGACGAGGCGGUAAACAGUGUUCCUCCACAGCUUUUGGUUUUCUCUCUUCCUGCCUCCAGGAUCUUGCGUUGAGUACCUGCCCUGACUUCACAUCACGAUGGUCCCUAGACAGCAAAACAAGAAGGCUAGUGAAGAGAAGAACAUGAUUGGCAUUCAGAAUCAGCGGCACAACUUUGAAGUCCUACAGAUCAAGUGCGAGAACAUUGAAAGGAACAUUUCUACAGUGAAGAGUUAAGUGACAGCAUUCUUAUUGUCUGCCGUGUAUACUGUGUGGGAAUGAGACAUCAUGUCAGCGGCUGGGAAAUACAAAGGGAUCAGGAAGAAGUGUGUAGUGAUGGCAGUGUCAUCUGUAGACUGGGCCAGAAAAAUCCACUGAGUUCAGGACAGCAGUUGGCGAUCUCUACUGGACAAAGGAUGAGAGAAGCCUAUCUGUGGUCUUACAAAGACUUCAGGGCUACAGUUGUGAUGAAGACCAGGGAUGGGACAGUCCUCUCCCUGUGUGCCAUUGCAUACUAACAUGAAAGCUUCACUCUGGGGAUGAUAAAGAGAUCUUUCACCAU